rnacentral:lncRNA from 1 species
CGCAAGCCCCCAGGAUACAACAUGAACUUUCCAAAAAUUUCUGAGGAUCUUAGAACUACCAAGGAUCUUAAAAAGAGUAUAAAAUAAAUCAGGAUUUUCUUAGGAAGAAAGAGAGAAUGAGAGAAAGAGAGGAUGAGAGAAAAUGUUUUGGUGUAUUUUGGAGUGAAACAAAUGCUCUAUUUAUAGAGUUGAUGGACCAGGC